rnacentral:rRNA from 1 species
GAGUAAUAUCUGGGAAUCUACCCAAAAGAGGGGGAUAACUACUAGAAAUGGUAGCUAAUACCGCAUAAAGUUGAGAAACCAAAGUGGGGGACCUUUUAGGCCUCAUGCUUUUGGAUGAGCCCAGACGAGAUUAGCUUGUUGGUAAGGUAAAAGCUUACCAAGGCUUCGAUCUCUAGCUGGUCUGAGAGGAUAACCAGCCACACUGGAACUGAGACACGGUCCAGACUCCUACGGGAGGCAGCAGUGGGGAAUAUUGCACAAUGGGCGAAAGCCUGAUGCAGCUAUGCCGCGUGUAUGAAGAAGGCCUUAGGGUUGUAAAGUACUUUCAGCGGGGAG